AGCGUAGACGGUAAAGCAAGUCUGAAGUGAAAGCCCGGGGCUCAACCCCGGGACUGCUUUGGAAACUGUUUAACUAGAGUGCUGGAGAGGUAAGCGGAAUUCCUAGUGUAGCGGUGAAAUGCGUAGAUAUUAGGAGGAACACCAGUGGCGAAGGCGGCUUACUGGACAGUAACUGACGUUGAGGCUCGAAAGCGUGGGGAGCAAACCAAG
rnacentral:rRNA from 1 species